rnacentral:rRNA from 1 species
UACGGAGGAUGCGAGCGUUAUCCGGAUUCAUUGGGUUUAAAGGGUGCGCAGGCGGCCUGGUAAGUCAGCGGUGAAAGUCAGGGGCCCAACCCCGGAAGUGCCGUUGAUACUGUCGGGCUUGAAUGCGGUCGAGGCGGGCGGAAUGUGGUGUGUAGCGGUGAAAUGCAUAGAUAUGCCACAGAACGCCGAUAGCGAAGGCAGCUCGCCAGGCCUGCAUUGACGCUCAGGCACGAAAGCGUGGGGAU